GAUGAACGCUGGCGGCGUGCCUAAUACAUGCAAGUAGAACGCUGAAGGAAGGAGCUUGCUCUUUCCGGAUGAGUUGCGAACGGGUGAGUAACGCGUAGGUAACCUGCCUGGUAGCGGGGGAUAACUAUUGGAAACGAUAGCUAAUACCGCAUAACAGUAGAUGUUGCAUGAUAUCUACUUAAAAGGUGCAAUUGCACCACUACCAGCUGGACCUGCGUUGUAUUAGCUAGUUGGUGAGGUAACGGCUCACCAAGGCGACGAUACAUAGCCGAGCUGAGAGGGAGGACGGCCAAAAUGGGACUGAGACACGGCCCAGACCCCUACGGGAGGCAGCAGGAGGGAAUCUUCGGCAAUGGACGGAAGUCUGACCGAGCAACGCCGGGGGAGUGAAGAAGGGUUUCGGAGCGGAAAGCUCUGUUGUAAGAGAAGAAAGAGUGUGAGAGUGGAAAGUUCACACUGUGACGGUAUCUGACCAGAAAGGGACGGCUAACUACGUG
rnacentral:rRNA from 1 species